rnacentral:tRNA from 1 species
GCCCCGAUAGCUCAGCCGGUUAGAGCGAUAGCCUUGUAAGCUGUAGGUCGCGGGUUCGAAUCCCGCCCGGGGCU